UGCAAGUCGAACGCGAAAGCUCCCUUCGGGGAGCAAGUAGAGUGGCGCACGGGUGAGUAACACGUAGGUAAUCUACCUUUGGAUGGGGAAUAACACCGAGAAAUCGGUGCUAAUACCGCAUAAUGCAGCGGCACCUAAUGGUGACAGUUGUUAAAGCGGGGGAUCGCAAGACCUCGCGUCUAAAGAGGAGCCUGCGGCGGAUUAGCUAGUUGGUAAGGUAACGGCUUACCAAGGCGAUGAUCCGUAACCGGCCUGAGAGGGCGGUCGGUCACACUGACACUGACAUACGGGUCAGACUCCUACGGGAGGCAGCAGUCGGGAAUUUUGGGCAAUGGGCGAAAGCCUGACCCAGCAACGCCGCGUGAAGGAUGAAAUCCCUCGGGAUGUAAACUUCGCAAGAACGGGAAGAAUAAGUUGGUGUGAAUAUCACCAGCGAUGACGGUACCGUUUGUAAGCUCCGGCUAACUCCGUGCCAGCAGCCGCGGUAAUACGGGGGGAGCAAGCGUUGUUCGGAUUUACUGGGCGUAAAGGGCGGGUAGGCGGCCACCGCAAGUCAGUUGUGAAAUCUCUGGGCUUAACCCAGAAAGGUCAACUGAUACUGCGGGGCUAGAGUGCAGAAGGGGCAACUGGAAUUCUCGGUGUAGCGGUGAAAUGCGUAGAUAUCGAGAGGAACACCUGCGGCGAAGGCGGGUUGCUGGGCUGACACUGACGCUGAACUGCGAAAGCUAGGGGAGCGAACGGGAUUAGAUACCCCGGUAGUCCUAGCCUUAAACGAUGAAUGCUUGGUGUC
rnacentral:rRNA from 1 species